rnacentral:lncRNA from 1 species
CUUCCUAUAUUUUUUUUAUUUCACCUUUAUUUAACCAGGUAGGCCAGCUGAGAACAAGUUCUCAUUUACAACUGCGACCUGGCCAAGAUAAAGCAAAGCAGUGCGACAACAACAACAACAACACAGAGUUACACAUGGGAUAAACAAACGUACAGUCAAUAACACAAUAGAAAAAUCUGUAUACAGUGUGUGCAAAUGAAGUAAGGAGGUAAGGCAAUAAAUAGGCCAAUAGUGGCGAAGUAAUUACAAUUUUGAAAUGUACACUAGAGUGAUAUGUGCAGAUGAGGAUGUGUAAGUAGAAAUACUGGUGUGUAAAAGAGCAGAAAAACUAAAACAAAUAUGGGGAUGAGGUAGGUAGUUGGUUGGAUGGGCUAUUUACAGAUGGGCUGUACAGCUGCAGCGAUUGGUAAGCUGCUCUGACAGCUGACGCUUAAAGUUAGUGAGGGAGAUAUAAGUCUCCAGUGAUUUUUGCAAUUCAUUCCAGUCAUUGGCAGCAGAGAAGUGGAAGGAAAGGCGGCCAAAGGAGGAGUUGGCUUUGGGGAUGACCGGUGAAAUAUACCUGCUGGAGCGCGUGCUACGAGUGGGUGUUGCUAUGGUGACCAGUGAGCUGAGAUAAGGCGGAGCUAUAUCUAGCAAAGACUGGAGCCAGUGGGUUUGGCGACGAAUAUGAAGCGAGGACCAGCGAACGAGAGCAUACAGGUUGCAGUGGUGGGUAUUAUAUGGAGCUUUGGUGACAAAACGGAUGCACUGUGAUAGACUGCAUCCAAUUUGCUGAGUAGAGUGUUGGAGGCUAUUUUGUAAAUGACAUCGCCGAAGUCAAGGAUCGUUAGGAUAGUCAGUUUUAUGAGGGUCAGUUUGGCAGCAUGAGUGAAGGAAGCUUUGUUGCGAAAUAGGAAGCCGAAUCUAGAUUUAACUUUGGAUUGGAGCUGCUUAAUGUGAGUCUGGAAGGAGAGUUUACAGUCUAACCAGACACCUAGGUAUUUAUAGUUGUCCACAUAUUCUAAGUCAGAACCAUCCAGAGUAGUGAUGCUAGUUGGGCGGGCGGGUGCGGGCAGCGAUCGGUUGAAAAGCAUGCAUUCAUUGAUAUAUACAGAGAAAAGAGUUGGCCCGAUAAUUGAACCCUGUGGCACCCCCAUAGAGACUGCCAGAGGUCCGGACAACAGGCCCUCCGAUUUGACACACUGAACUCUAUCUGAGAAGUAGUUAGUGAACCAGGCGAGGCAGUCAUUAGAGAAACCAAGGCCGUUGAGUAUGCCGAUAAGAAUACGGUGAUUGACAGAGUCGAAAGCCUUGGUCAGGUUGAUGAAGACGGCUGUACAGUUUUGUCUUUUAUCAAUGGCGAUUAGGAUAUAGUUUAGGACCUUGAGAGUGGCUGAGGUGCACCCGUGACCUGCUCGGAAACCAGACUGCAUAGCGGAGAAGGUACGGUGGGAUUCAAAAUGGUCUGUUUGUUCACUUGGCUUUCGAAGACUUUAGAAAGGUAGGGCAGGAUGGAUAUACAGUUGAAGACGGAAGUUUACAUACACCUUAGCCAAAUACAUUUAAACUCAGUUUUUCACAAUUCCUGACAUUUAAUCCUAGUAAAGAUUCCCUGUCUGAGGUUAUUUAGGAUCCCCACUUUAUUUUAAGAAUGUGAAAUGUCAGAAUAAUAGCAGAGAGAAUGAUUUAUUUCAAAUGUUAUUUCUUUCAUCACAUUCCCAGUGGGUCAGAAGUUAACAUACACUCAAUUAGUAUUUGGUAGCAUUGCCUUUAAAAUGUUUAUCUUGGGUCAAACAUUUCGGGUAGCCUUCCACAAGCUUCCCACAAUAGUUGGGUGAAUUUUUAGCCGAUUCCUCCUGACAGAGCUGGUGUAACUGAGUCAGAUACAGUGCCUUGCGAAAGUAUUCGGCCUCCUUGCUCGCACACACUUUUUCAGUUCUGCCCACAAAUUGUCAAUAGGAUUGAGGUCAGGGCUUUGUGAUGGCCACUCCAAUACCUUGGCUUUGUUGUCCUUAAGCCAUUUUGCCACAACUUUGGAAGUAUGCUUGGGGUCAUUGUCCAUUUCGAAGACCCAUUUGCAACCAAGCUUUAACUUCCUGACUGAUGUCUUGAGAUGUUGCUUCAAUAUAUCCACAUAAUUUCCCUUCCUCAUGAUCCCAUCAAUUUUGUGAAGUGCACCAGUCCCUCCUGCAGCAAAGCACCCCCAAAACAUGAUGCUGCCAACCCGUGCUUCACGGUUGGGAUGGUGUUCUUUGGCUUGCAAGCCUCCCCCUUUUUCCUCCAAACAUAACGAUGGUCAUUAUGGCCAAACAGUUCUAUUUUUGUUUCAUCAGACCAGAGGACAUUUCUCCAAAAAGUCUUUGUCCCCAUGUGCAGUUGCAAACGGUAGUCUGGCUUUUUUUAUGGCGGUUUUGGAGCAGUGGCUUCUUCCUUGCUGAGCGGCCUUUCACUUUAUGUCGAUAUAGGACUCGUUUUACUGUGGAUAUAGAUACUUUUGUAACUGUUUCCUCCAGCAUCUUCACAGGGUCUUUUGCUGUUGUUCUGGGAUUGAUUUUCACUUUUCGCACUGAAGUACGUUCAUCUCUAGGAGACAGAACGUGUCUCCUUCCUGAGCAGUAUGACGGAUGCGUGGUCCCUAGGUGUUUAUACUUGCGUACUAUUGUUUGUACAGAUGAACCCGGUAUCUUCAGGCAUUUGGAAAUUUCUCCCAAGGAUGAACCAGACUUGUGGAGGUCUACAAUUUUUUUCUGAGGUCUUGGCUGAUUUCUUUUGAUUUGCCCAUGAUGUCAAGCAAAGAGGCACUGAGUUUGAAGGUAGGCCUUGAAAUACAGCCACAGGUACACCUCCAAUUGACUCAA